rnacentral:lncRNA from 1 species
GUGGCUUCUAUCAGAUGAUGAACGAGAGAAGAUUGAGCAAGUUCUGUGGACGGCAGAGAAACACCAUAACUCUAGAGCAGAUUUUCUUCUGGCUGGUAUGUACUUCCAUACGUGUCAAUUGUAACAUGUAUCAUACGUAUAACACACUGUAUACUAUUCUUUCAUUUCUAUUGGUGAAAUGAAAACUGCACACACUGUUUUCAGAGCCUCCUAGGCAUGAGUGUUUUGUGCGGAACCAACCACUGGCAGAUGCCUUCAAGCUCUUUGGCAUCUCGGCAUCAAAACAAGAGAUUGGACUCGCUGGGCUUCCUGAACAGCUCCAGUCUCUGCUGAAAGACCGCUCCGAAUUUGCAGAGAAAAUGAAAUCCGAGCCACUCAGUGUGGAGAAAGGGGAUUUGGUUAAGGUGGAGGAUUUCACUCCGCUGUCAGGCUUAGAGAUUGAUGGUGAGUCUCCAGGACCUCAUGAGGACCACUCUGCACAUUGUAUGUAGUCUAAAAUAUAAAAGAGUGGAUAAUAUAUUGAACAAAUUAUCAAAUGACCAGAACCAUGCGUAAUGUGAAAUAUAAAUAUGAUAGAGCUGGACUGUAUGUUUCAUGGAUGUUAUGUGACUUCAUUUCAGAUAUUCUCAGGAGAGAAACCUCAGGAGAUGGGGGUUAGUAUAAACAGAUUUCUCCUCUGAAUCUUCUCCUUACUUAUGCACAUGCCUAGAUUUACAGGUAUUCUCCCACAAGCUCAAGGGGCAAGGGGGCUUGGAAGGUUAACUUGUUUUAAUUUAAUAUAUUCUCUGAGAUAAAGUGUACCUCAGGGAAGAGCGGAAUAAACCAACUAUACAUCUCAUUUAAAAGAUGCUGAUACUAAGAAAGGUUCUUUCUCUCUCUGUGUGCAUUCUGUCAGGUAAUUCCACUUUUCCUAAGGAUUCGAUAAAAUCCACCAAGUCUCCGACCACAGUCAUUCCGAGGGACAUGCAGCAGCUAGCUGUACCCUCCCGGCAGGAGGAUGGGAGAGCUGUGAAGAAGCUCAUCAUGGAGAGGAUGGCUUGGCCCUCUGAGAUCUCUAACCCUGCCCAGGAGUAUGGGCCCCUGAGAACACCACAAGGCAUGGCAACCAUAGGAGGAGAGAGAGUGGGGAACUUCGCUCCUGUGAGGCAGCCUCGAAGGGAGUUUCCCAGCAGACCUUCAUCCCCAAAACCGCUGACGCACUCUGACCUUUUGACCUCUUUCAUGAUGCUCAGACAACAGCAGGAUCUGCUCGUAGCUUCUGAAAAGGCCAGCACCACUCUAACAGAUUUACAGGCAAACAAGUUCACCAACCAGAGACCCACAGAACAGAGGCCAGCAGAGAGAGGACAGUCUAAGGUGAUGGGGACAAUGGCCUCAUCGGAUCCUCCAGAGAGAGGCAGCAUCUCUAUAGUUCAGGGAACCGACAGUAGCACCUCUAUGGGUCAGUCUAGCAGAGCUAGCACUCCCGUGGGUCAGGUUAGCAGAGCUAGCACUCCUGUGGGUCAGGUUAGCAGAGCUAGCACUCCCGUGGGUCAGGUUAGCAGAGCUAGCACUCCAAUGGCACAAGAUAACAGUGAUCGCAAGUCUGUGGUUCAGGAAACCAGAACCGAGAGGGACAACAACCACAGUA